rnacentral:tRNA from 1 species
UCGAUAGCUCAGAUGGUAGAGCAGAGGACUGAAAAUCCUCGUGUCGGCGGUUCGAUUCCGUCUCGAGC